AGUGCCAUUUCGGGUUUGGCCAUAGAAAAUUCACCCCUCCAAAUCUUCCUCCAAAAAUUAUUUUCUUGUGGUAUUCCUACUAAUUUAAGGGUCCUUUACAACUUGGUGUAAUUGUUUUGGAAGAAGGAGCACUUAUUUCUUCAAGUUGACAACUUGUUCAAGUGAAGGAGUUGUAGAAAAAGAUUUUGGGCGAAACGAGAAUUGAAUUUGGAAAGGCGUAAAGAGCAUAUAAGGUACCGACGACAGGUUUGCUGAUCCGUCCGCUUAGGAUCUUAUUCUGCUAUUUUGGAGCGCUCCUUUAUCCGGAGCCUAUAUUUUGGUACAAUCUUCUGCUAUUGUAUAUAUGUACGCUAUUCAGGGGUACGACGGGGCCCUGUCCCAUCUUAUGAUUCUGUUAUGUUCUGUAGAGGUCUGUAGACAUACUUGUGUGGGUUCUGUAUAUGUUUUGGGUUGUUAUGAUCGGUGAUGGCCUUAUCGGCCUC